GAGUAACACGUGGAUAACCUACCUCAAGGUUGGGAUAACAUUGGAAACAGAUGCUAAUACCGAAUAAAACUUCGUAUCGCAUGAUACAAGGUUAAAAGGCGCUACGGCGUCACCUAGAGAUGGAUCCGCGGUGCAUUAGUUAGUUGGUGGGGUAAAGGCCUACCAAGACAAUGAUGCAUAGCCGAGUUGAGAGACUGAUCGGCCACAUUGGGACUGAGACACGGCCCAAACUCCUACGGGAGGCUGCAGUAGGGAAUCUUCCACAAUGGGCGAAAGCCUGAUGGAGCAACGCCGCGUGUGUGAUGAAGGCUUUCGGGUCGUAAAGCACUGUUGUAUGGGAAGAACAGCUAGAGUAGGGAAUGACUUUAGUUUGACGGUACCAUACCAGAAAGGGACGGCUAAAUACGUG
rnacentral:rRNA from 1 species